CCUACGGGUGGCUGCAGUGAGGAAUAUUGGUCAAUGGGCGUAAGCCUGAACCAGCCAAGUCGCGUGAGGGAUGAAGGUUCUAUGGACCGUAAACCUCUUUUAUAAGGGAAUAAAGUGUGGUAAGUGUCCUUUCUUGUAUGUACCUUAUGAAUAAGGAUCGGCUAACUCCGUGACAGCAGCCGCGGUACUACGGAGGAUCCGAGCGUAACCCGGACUUAUUGGGUUUAAAGUGUGCGUAGGCGGCCUUUGAAGUCAGCGGUGAAAGUCUGCGGCUCAACCCUAGAAUUGUCGUUGAAACUGGGGGGCUGUAGAAUGUUUGAGGCAGGCUGAAUGCGUGGUG
rnacentral:rRNA from 1 species